GUUUGUCACUCCCAUGCCGCCCAGGAAAGAAACUAAGGAUCCAGUUGAUCCCAGAGCUGGCAGCAUUCCCUUAACAGUGAUGUUUGGCUGGAUCAGUCUCAAGUUCUCUCUGAGUCCAGAGAAAAGAAAAAAGCUGUGAGAGUUUCCUCAAGUGUGAGGACUUUGUGCUGACAGCAGCCACUCGCUGCUGAGGAAGCUGAGGAACAGCAUGUGGCCCCACCCUUCUGGUGACACUUCACAGAGAACUGCCUUCUCAGAGGUCGCAGAGCUGGGCCACCUAGUAACACAGAAGAGCCCUUCAGAGGACAGGCUCCACAACAUCCAGGAGCAGGAAAGGACCCAGCACGUCAUCCCUGUGAGAGGAGACAUCCCCCAGCCAGACUACAAGCCUAGGAAUUUCUCCAAGGACAUUGUGUUACUAAGGCUUGAAGAGAAAGGCCAACGUGACUGCCUCUGUGAGCCCCCUCAGGCUGCCCAGGAGGAGAGAGCUGGCAAAGCCAGGGACGGUGUGCAGUGUGGCUCACUGGGAGGACCUUGGUGGGAACACUCCUUCAGUCAUAAAACUGUGGGAAGUAGAGCUUGA
rnacentral:lncRNA from 1 species